GACGGGACCCGCACAAGCGGUGGAUGAUGUGGAUUAAUUCGAUGCAACGCGAAGAACCUUACCUACCCUUGACAUGUCUGGAAUCCCGAAGAGAUUUGGGAGUGCUCGCAAGAGAACCGGAACACAGGUGCUGCAUGGCUGUCGUCAGCUCGUGUCGUGAGAUGUUGGGUUAAGUCCCGCAACGAGCGCAACCCUUGUCAUUAGUUGCUACGAAAGGGCACUCUAAUGAGACUGCCGGUGACAAACCGGAGGAAGGUGGGGAUGACGUCAAGUCCUCAUGGCCCUUAUGGGUAGGGCUUCACACGUCAUACAAUGGUCGGGACAGAGGGUCGCCAACCCGCGAGGGGGAGCCAAUCCCAGAAACCCGACCGUAGUCCGGAUUGUAGUCUGCAACUCGACUACAUGAAGUCGGAAUCGCUAGUAAUCGCGGAUCAGCAUGUCGCGGUGAAUACGUUCCCGGGUCUU
rnacentral:rRNA from 1 species